GGAAAGAACUAGUAGACACCAUAAGAGAAACAGAAAGACAUUAACAGAGAGUCUACAUGGUGUUAGCAAGUGUCUUUGUGAAGUGAUAAGAUUGAAGGCUAUUUGGUUGGUGUUCUACACAUAGUGAUGUUGUGGAACUUGUUUUAGCGAGAUACGGCUGUAGAGAGAGAGGAUCGUGGUUGACUGUAUUUACGUAUGGAUUCUAUCACUAAGGUGAGCCUUCGCAUUGUUCGUGAAGGUUGUCAUUCAUCCUUAGUUAUUUUUGGCUUAUGUUUCCUUUCGUUGGGGUUGUAUGCCCAAAAUUUGAACUCAUGUAACUCUGUGUAGAUGCUCCAUGAACUCAGUGUGGGAAUUGGGUUAGAGAUUUGUUAUCUAAACUAUUGUAGUUUUCAUAAAUUGCUAUGAGAUAUCUUGUUGGAUAAUUAUCUGGCGUUAAUGAUUAUUACGUGUA